CAGAGAGCACAGAUUUUUUUGAUUAUGUAGAUUUCUUUUCCUACUGCAGUUUCAUAUGCAAAGCAUGCAUCGGCCACAUCCAUGCUAUCUCCUAAAGCAGUCAUUCUGAAACCCAAUCUGGGGACAGUGCAGACUAAAUAAAAUUUCAUUUUGAUUUGGCCUCCCGCUGCGAACGGGACUGCUUUGUCUCGGCCGACAGAACCAGCAAGCCAGAAAGGUACCGAAACUGGGAACCGAUGUUCCUCUGGAACCAGCAUGAAAACUCCACAAAAUCCCUAGUUUGUCUCCACAGUGUUCUUAUUCCAAGUGUGCUGAGAGAAAAGGCCAGACAUGGAUACCUUAAUUUUGUAAAACAGAAAGAUUUCGCCGGAGAAGAAAGUUACCAUCGGGACGCUGUACUUCUCCAGUUUCACGCUCGCUCUGGAUUUCCCUCCUGCCCCCCCUUCUCCCCCCAGCAGCACUAAAAGCAAAAGGAUGGUGUGAGGGAAACACAAAGAAGGUCCCUUGCAGAGAAACACAUCCUGACAUCAAGCAUUUUCAUCACGGCUGACAGAGAAAUGGCAUGUUCAAUUUGCACUUUAUUUACAAACGCUAAACAUCUACGCACACAUGCCUACCCACCUUUCAUAUCCCUGUAUCUGAAACCCAAGCGAGGAAAACAGCCCAUGCGCGUGAAGCAAGCGAGGGAAUGUGCCGCUGCCUCAUCCAGCACGUUUACAAAUGGACCAACCACAAAUACACCACAGGGAAAUGUGCUUCUCUGUGUGCCAAAAUGCCAGGAUGUUAAUUCACAGAGAUGGCAAGGCCUGCUGAGAAUCAAGGUCUUCUGGACAUGGCACAGCCUUUGUGCUCCUGAACUCAUAGCAGCCGUGGUUAUCUGCAUGAGACACACGUGAGUUCAAGGCAGUCAAUGUUUCAUCAUGGGUAAGGGAGGGGUUGGUUAGGCUCUAACCCUGGCAAUAAAAGCUUUGGCCAUUGAUGGUUACUGAAGGAAGAAAGCUGAUUUUACUGUGAGGGUGUAUCUGCUGGUAGCUGCCAAUGCUCCAGGGGAUGGCCCCGUACCCAAGCACAUGCAGGCAGCUCUAAAUAGACUUAGUAAGGUAAAGAGAAUAGGAUGUGGAGGUGGAAAGGAGAGGUGUUGGGAGGGGUUCUAAGAGGAGCAAGAGGCAGGAUGGCUGGGAUUUAUGAUCAAAAUAUGUUAUAUACCUCUAUGGAAUUCUCAAAGAAUAAAUUUUGAAAAAGAAAAAAUAAACAAGUUGUUUUCAGGGGUAUUCUGGAUAUUCAGAGACAGGUGAAGUCAAGAUGAAGUCAAGGUAUAAAUACUGAGAGGCCUGAGACUUUCUACCUUUCUAUCAACCAUUCCAAAUAGGACUCUGUUUGUGGCUCAUUUCAGUGUUAAACAGUUCUAUUCCAUGGUCUUGGAAAAUGGCAAAGCCUCUACUGUCAGCCAUAACUCCUAAUUUUAUGAUCUUUCAGCAGUUGCAUUUGGGAAUUUGAAAACAAUAUUUGUACACACACACACACACACACACACACACACACCUUACUCUCUUUUUAUAUAAAAAUAAAAUGUAAAACUACCAACAGUUAUAACCAAAUAUAUAAAGAGUUCCAAGCUUACCCAGCCACAGCCUCCAAUUCCAUGGAACAGGACAGGCAUCCCUUGUAUCCAUUCUGAACUCCCUACCACAGAAUCUGCACGCAUCAUAAAAUGAAUGUUUUCAAGGACCUCGCUUUGGAGAAAUACUCUGGGCAGCCAUAAAUAACUGGAUAUUUUACCUAACGGUUUUAAAGAGUGUCAGUGUAUGUAAGAUAAAGCAAUGUUACAAUUAGGAUCCAAGCAAUUCGUGGCUUUCCAGGGUAACUUUCUCUAGCAAGACAUACCACAAGGGAGAGAGGUGAAGAAAUAUUCACAGCUGCUUAGGAAUGUCUGACUCCCUCAAUAUCUGUGAAAUGACUCCAGUCUUGAAGCCAACCCAAAGUCUUAGGCAAAUUGUAACACCCCAAAAUACCUCUUCUCCCCAUCACCUCCUCCUCCUUCUUGUAGUGCUGGAGCCUCAGACACUCUAUGCUCUGCCUCUGAUCUAUAUAUACCCUCAGUCCCCAAACACACCCUUUAAUACAACUUUUCUUUUUAAAAACUAGUACUAAUUCCAAGACCAUUAAGUGCCCUUCUGUGAGUUUCAUGUUGGCAGUUGGGUACAAUAUUUCUUAUGCUUCAAACAUACACAAACUCAGAGCAUUAUAUUAAUCUAAAAUAUUAAUUUAUAUACUAUAUAUGAUAUAUAUUAAAAACCAGUCCUUUAAAAAAUCCCUUUGUUGUUGUUGCUGCUAUUUCUUCUGCUAAUAGAAUACAAAAUUCAAAGAACAAACUCUUAUCCAAAUCCUUAGAAGGCCUGCUCUCACUUGCCUCUAACCACUGCAGCAGUUUUACUCUUCUGCUGUCUUGUAAGACUACUGAGAAAUUGGCCAGCCUGUGCUGCAAUGUGCCUCAUUAGUGAGCUCUCUGCAUUCUGUCUCCUUUCCUCACUGGGGAACAUUGAAAGCCCAGGUAGUCAUUACUGCUCAGACUCUGAGAAAGAGGAGAUGGCUCCUCUUCCACCUUCUUACCAUACCAGUUAGUUAUUCACAGGAAAACUUUGCUUCUUUGGGUCUUUAACGACAUGGUACAAAUUCAGGUGAGAUGUAACAAAAGGGGGUUUCCUUCUGCUGGCUGCUUGUGUGCCUCGUGGUUUCAGUUUUCUAAGCAGUAGAAUCUCUUCUGUGCUUGUUUUCUCUCUUCCUUUUCAG
rnacentral:lncRNA from 1 species